ensembl:processed_transcript
AUUACGAACACCUGACCUGCAGUGCAGCAGAAUUCAGAGUCUUGUUUGCGCUCCGGUGACGCAGCUAACCUCAAGACAUGUAACUUACUCCAGAGACGCACUAACUUGCACAGCAUUAAAUGGAAAAGGCUUUGUCCAUGUCCAGUUGAGGGGCAUCAAGAACACGCAGAUAGCCUACCUGUGUCAGCCUGGACAGACUGCAGUUCUGCUACUCCAUGCCAAGGCUUUUGUAUGGAUGUCUUGACUACUACUGUGUUCUCUAAAGGUUUUCUGGAGGCUCCAUUUGAGGGCAUCAAGGACAUACUGAUGGCCUAAACCAGUGUCAGCCUAGACAGACAGGCAUCUAUUGCAGUUCUGCUACACAAGACCAAACUCUCUGCUUUUGUAUGGAUGUCUGACUAGUACGGUGUUCUCUAAAGGUAUAACUGGAGCAAAACAAUAGCAUCCGUUACAGUGAAAUUUGUGUUCAUAAAAGAUAGUGAUAUGUGUAACAGGUCCAGUACAUUUGUCAUAAAGGUUAAAUCACAGUAAGUACUGUAAAAAUAACUUGUUUGCCUUUGCCACAACAGGUCAUGGUGUGUGCUUACUGCUUGUAGUAAACACACGCUGAUCUGAUGAGGGAGAGAUAUACGCAAACACAAUUGUAUUUAAUGUUUUGUUUUGCCUCACUAAAGUGUUGUUGGAGCUUGGUAUGUUCACAGUUGAAAUCACUGAAGUCACAUGGAACGUUUUGACAAUGUGUUUUGUGCCUUAUCUUGACAAUGACCAUCUUGGGACCAUUGCUGUCUGUAGAGGAUGAGGAGCAUUUAAUCUAAAAUAUUUUAGUUUGUGUUCUGAAGAUUAACAGGACUUGUGGG